GCGAGGUGGCGGGCGACCGGGUCCCUCCGCCGCGUCUGCCAUCUGCGGCGGGGCCAACUGGCACCCAGCCCAGAGGCUCCGCAGAGGCGCCGGCGCCCGGCGGAGCGGGACCGCGACUGGCUGCUGACGCCGACUCCCCUGCCCGCCGCCGCCCGCCCGCCCGCUCGCCCCACCUUCUGCGCCGGAGAUCGACAGCGCGGAGGAGCGGCAGCCGCAGCCGCGCACAAGCGCCGCGGCGCGCCCGGCUGGCCAGCCGCAGGGAGGAGGCGGGAGCCCGCAGGAGCUCCGCAGAGGAGCCGCCGCCGCCGCCGCCGCGCAACAGGUGUCGGGGGAUGCGCGCCCCGCCGGCCGGCGCAAGGGGCAGCCCCGGCGCGGCCCGAGCCGGCCAGGAUGAGCUCGGCCACGGCAGCUUCCCAGCGACAGGCUGUGCACAGCCAUUUGGAGACACCCUCUGGAGCCGCCAUCCUUUGCCACAACUGUGGGAGUCCGUGCAAAGGAGAAGUGCUAAGAGUGCAGAAGAAGUAUUUUCAUAUUAAGUGUUUCGUUUGCAAAGCGUGUGGCUGUGACCUGGCCCAAGGGGGCUUCUUUGUCAGACAAGGGGAUUACGUCUGCACGUCGGACUACCAGAGGCUCUAUGGCACUCGGUGCUUCAGCUGUGACGAGUUUAUUGAGGGCGAGGUGGUCUCUGCUUUGGGGAAGACCUACCACCCAAACUGCUUUGUGUGUGUGCUCUGCAGGCAGCCGUUUCCUCCCGGGGACCGGGUGACUUUCAAUGGCAAGGAGUGCGUCUGCCAGAAAUGUUCUCUGCCCCCGGCUGGUGCCAGUUUUCCAGUCCUCCGAAAUUGCGGGAACUGUGGCUCCGAAAUUAAGAAUGGGCAAUCUUUGGUGGCAUUGGACAAACAUUGGCAUCUGACCUGCUUUAAGUGCAAGAUUUGUGGAAAACUUCUCACUGGGGAAUAUAUCAGCAAGGAUGGCAUUCCAUAUUGCGAAAGAGACUAUCAUAUUACGUUUGGGAUCCAGUGUGACCGUUGUGGGAAAUUUAUCACUGGGAGAGUUUUGGAGGCUGGAGAAAAGCAUUACCACCCCACCUGUGCCUGCUGUGAUAAGUGCAAUCAGAUGUUCGCUGAAGGGGAAGAGAUGUAUCUUCAAGGGUCUUCUAUUUGGCACCCAGCUUGUCGACAGGCAGCCAAAGUUGAAGAAAAGGCCAAGUUGCAGGAAACCCGAACAUCAUCUGAAAGCAUAAUUUCGGUGCCGCCUUCAAGUACAUCAUGUUCCCCAAGUCGAAUAAUUUAUGCGAAACUUGGGGAGGAAAUUCUUGACUACCGAGACUUGGCUGCUCUCCCUAAGAACAAGGCCAUCUACAACAUCGACCGUCCAGACAUGAUCUCCUACUCUCCCUACAUCAGCCACUCGACCAACGACCGGCCCAGCUACACCGAGGGUGACCAAGAGGACCAGCCCCUCAAGCCAUGCCGGAUUUCAAGCCCCAGUUCCACCAGCUCGCUGGGCUAUGGGCGCACCACGCCUCUUUGCGCUUCGCCUCCGAAUUUCAGCCGAGCAGCUGGUACCGAGACUCCUGGUACCAGUAGCUGCAUCUCCUUGCCCAACUACCCAAGCCUUCCCUCUACAUUCAGACAUCAUUACAUCCCUUUCUUCAAAGGCAGUGAAAGUGGCCGGAGCACCCCAAGCUUAUCCCUCUGCUCAGACAGCAAAUCUGCGUCCUCUCCUUAUCAGCAGGCACCCAAACAUUUUCAUAUUCCAGAGACUGGAAUAAAAGAUAACAUCUAUAGGAAACCCCCCAUCUAUCGACAGCAUGGUACAGUCUGCUUUGCUCACCUCCCUGGCUCAAGAAAAUCAGAUGGAGAUGGGAGUUCGGAUCAAGACAGCAAGAAGUUAAAGUCCAGCUGGCUGACUUUGAAAGGGGACGUGGAGUUUAGAACUAACUUGCCUGACUUGGAUACUCAGUCGCUGCCUCAAAGUCCUGGGACAGACCGACAACUUCAGCGGCUGCAAAGCAACACAAACUGCACCUACCUACGAUUCCCGUAUUCCAAAUCGGCUUCUCUUCCCGACUAUGGAAAGCAAGGCCUGCAGCACGCUGCAGGUGUGGGCGCAGAUGACCAGGAGGCCGCCUGGGGAAAGAGAGGUACUCAGUCUGCCCAGCCCUCCCUGGGGAGGGGGGAAGGAGGCUUUUCCCAACCGAAUUUAUGCCCCAACCCACAAAUCAGGCUCCACAAACCACCUUCAAAACAAACUUGGAUCGCUCCAGGUACACGGGAGGGAUCAGAACUUUAAUGUUUCGGGGUUCAGUCCAGGCCAGCCUCUGGCUCCGAAUUAGCCCCUCCCCCCCUUGCCAAAUAGUCUGUCCCUCUUCCCCAUCCCUUUGGCUCUGGAAGCACUCACUUGUUCUGCCCCCACCUCGCCUGGCACCACUGUUGCGGUGCCACCGUGAAGCCCCUUCCCCUCUCAGGCUCGUCCCUGCCUGCACUCUCUUUAGCACUGGAACUUGGCACCAGAAGGGAGCUGGCGUCUCCUGGUCUUUGCUCGCCUGGUGGAUCACCGGAAGGCCCUGUGCACCUGUCCAGCCUGCCCCCUCACACCCCCUGUGGUGGGGCAGUGCAGGACCAGUCCUUGCUCCACCCCAAAGAGAGCCCCCUCCAGGGGGGCUGCAGCAACUGUCCUGCCCCCAGGCCUCUCUCCCUGGGCUGAUGCCCCAAGUGCCACUUCUCGGUGGGCUUUAGCGCCAAUGGCGGUAAAGCUGGAAAGCCGUCCGUGCUUUCCCCCAGUAAGAAAACCAAGGAGAAUCCAGAAAGACAAGCUGUAUUCUAAUUGAAUCUGCCUGAUUUAUUUUCUUUCUUUCUCUUUUGCAGAAUACAAGGUAAGGAAAGCUAUUAAGGACAUCAAAGAGUGUUGAAAUCCAGCCUUUUUGUGCAAAAGGUUCACUCUUUUCUUCUUUACUCCGUGUAAAGACUGAGCAAGUAUGUACAUCCCUCUAAAAAUGGCCACAGGGGCCCCAUUUUCCCAGCAAUCAGCCUUUCUCCUUUUCUCCCAGGUCUAUCCGUAUGAAACCCUUAUUGUCACCAACAGAGUUCGAGUAAAACUACCAAAGGAUGUGGACAGAACCAGACUGGAGCACCACCUGUCCUCUGAGGAGUUUCAGGAGGUCUUCAAAAUGAGCAUUGAACAGUUUGAACGACUUGCACUUUGGAAACGCAAUGAGCUAAAGAAAAAGGCUUUGCUUUUUUAGCCUUCCUGAAACGAAGAGAAACGUGCUUGACGUAAGGCAGCUCCAUCCUUCCUUCCACCACCUGUGUCCACCUGCAACUGACCUCAUAUCGCUUCACUGUAUUCGGGCAGAAAAAUAGACCCAACCGGAGGCCCGGCUCACUCUCGCCCCCGGCCAGGUCAUUAAAGGGUGUAACCAA